CUACGGGGGGCUGCAGUGAGGAAUAUUGCACAAUGGGGGGAACCCUGAUGCAACAACGCCGCGUGGAGGAUGACGCAUUUCGGUGUGUAAACUCCUUUUAUAUGUCAAGAAAAUGACGGUAGCAUAUGAAUAAGCACCGGCUAACUCCGUGCCAGCAGCCGCGGUAAUACGGAGGGUGCAAGCGUUACUCGGAAUCACUGGGCGUAAAGGACGCGUAGGCGGGUUGGAAAGUCAGGUGUGAAAUCCUACGGCUUAACUGUAGAACUGCACUUGAAACUUCUAAUCUAGAGCAUGGGAGGGGGAGAUGGAAUUAGUGGUGUAGGGGUAAAAUCCGUAGAUAUCACUAGGAAUACCUAAAGCGAAGGCGAUCUCCUGGAACAUUACUGACGCUAAGGCGUGAAAGCGUGGGGAGCAAACAGGAUUAGAUACCCGGGUAGUC
rnacentral:rRNA from 1 species